GCGGCCAUAGUUAAAGGGAUAUAACCACCCCCUCCUAAGGGGUAGUUCCAGGUUCGAGUCCUGGUGGCUGCACCA
rnacentral:tRNA from 11 species